AAUAUUGACUGAUAAUUCUUUCCUGGAGUAGGGUCUAAUCCUAUUCGAGGGGGGAACUCAGCGAACCCGUGUCUUUUGCGUACUAUCUGUUUCCUUGGUAGGCUUGCCUACCAUUAGGACAUCAUAAAAACCUUUUGUAAUUGUAGUCAGCGUCAGCAAUAACUUAAUAGUUA
rnacentral:misc_RNA from 1 species